rnacentral:rRNA from 1 species
GGGUUGUGAGGUUAAGCGACUAAGCGUACACGGUGGAUGCCCUGGCAGUCAGAGGCGAUGAAGGACGUGCUAAUCUGCGAUAAGCGUCGGUAAGGUGAUAUGAACCGUUAUAACCGGCGAUUUCCGAAUGGGGAAACCCAGUGUGAUUCGUCACACUAUCAUUAACUGAAUCCAUAGGUUAAUGAGGCGAACCGGGGGAACUGAAACAUCUAAGUACCCCGAGGAAAAGAAAUCAACCGAGAUUCCCCCAGUAGCGGCGAGCGAACGGGGAGCAGCCCAGAGCCUGAAUCAGUGUGUGUGUUAGUGGAAGCGUCUGGAAAGGCGCGCGAUACAGGGUGACAGCCCCGUACACAAAAAUGCACAUGCUGUGAGCUCGAUGAGUAGGGCGGGACACGUGGUAUCCUGUCUGAAUAUGGGGGGACCAUCCUCCAAGGCUAAAUACUCCUGACUGACCGAUAGUGAACCAGUACCGUGAGGGAAAGGCGAAAAGAACCCCGGCGAGGGGAGUGAAAAAGAACCUGAAACCGUGUACGUACAAGCAGUGGGAGCACGCUUCGGCGUGUGACUGCGUACCUUUUGUAUAAUGGGUCAGCGACUUAUAUUCUGUAGCAAGGUUAACCGAAUAGGGGAGCCGAAGGGAAACCGAGUCUUAACUGGGCGUUAAGUUGCAGGGUAUAGACCCGAAACCCGGUGAUCUAGCCAUGGGCAGGUUGAAGGUUGGGUAACACUAACUGGAGGACCGAACCGACUAAUGUUGAAAAAUUAGCGGAUGACUUGUGGCUGGGGGUGAAAGGCCAAUCAAACCGGGAGAUAGCUGGUUCUCCCCGAAAGCUAUUUAGGUAGCGCCUCGUGAAUUCAUCUCCGGGGGUAGAGCACUGUUUCGGCAAGGGGGUCAUCCCGACUUACCAACCCGAUGCAAACUGCGAAUACCGGAGAAUGUUAUCACGGGAGACACACGGCGGGUGCUAACGUCCGUCGUGAAGAGGGAAACAACCCAGACCGCCAGCUAAGGUCCCAAAGUCAUGGUUAAGUGGGAAACGAUGUGGGAAGGCCCAGACAGCCAGGAUGUUGGCUUAGAAGCAGCCAUCAUUUAAAGAAAGCGUAAUAGCUCACUGGUCGAGUCGGCCUGCGCGGAAGAUGUAACGGGGCUAAACCAUGCACCGAAGCUGCGGCAGCGACACUAUGUGUUGUUGGGUAGGGGAGCGUUCUGUAAGCCUGUGAAGGUGUGCUGUGAGGCAUGCUGGAGGUAUCAGAAGUGCGAAUGCUGACAUAAGUAACGAUAAAGCGGGUGAAAAGCCCGCUCGCCGGAAGACCAAGGGUUCCUGUCCAACGUUAAUCGGGGCAGGGUGAGUCGACCCCUAAGGCGAGGCCGAAAGGCGUAGUCGAUGGGAAACAGGUUAAUAUUCCUGUACUUGGUGUUACUGCGAAGGGGGGACGGAGAAGGCUAUGUUGGCCGGGCGACGGUUGUCCCGGUUUAAGCGUGUAGGCUGGUUUUCCAGGCAAAUCCGGAAAAUCAAGGCUGAGGCGUGAUGACGAGGCACUACGGUGCUGAAGCAACAAAUGCCCUGCUUCCAGGAAAAGCCUCUAAGCAUCAGGUAACAUCAAAUCGUACCCCAAACCGACACAGGUGGUCAGGUAGAGAAUACCAAGGCGCUUGAGAGAACUCGGGUGAAGGAACUAGGCAAAAUGGUGCCGUAACUUCGGGAGAAGGCACGCUGAUAUGUAGGUGAAGCGACUUGCUCGUGGAGCUGAAAUCAGUCGAAGAUACCAGCUGGCUGCAACUGUUUAUUAAAAACACAGCACUGUGCAAACACGAAAGUGGACGUAUACGGUGUGACGCCUGCCCGGUGCCGGAAGGUUAAUUGAUGGGGUUAGCGGUAACGCGAAGCUCUUGAUCGAAGCCCCGGUAAACGGCGGCCGUAACUAUAACGGUCCUAAGGUAGCGAAAUUCCUUGUCGGGUAAGUUCCGACCUGCACGAAUGGCGUAAUGAUGGCCAGGCUGUCUCCACCCGAGACUCAGUGAAAUUGAACUCGCUGUGAAGAUGCAGUGUACCCGCGGCAAGACGGAAAGACCCCGUGAACCUUUACUAUAGCUUGACACUGAACAUUGAGCCUUGAUGUGUAGGAUAGGUGGGAGGCUUUGAAGUGUGGACGCCAGUCUGCAUGGAGCCGACCUUGAAAUACCACCCUUUAAUGUUUGAUGUUCUAACGUUGGCCCCUGAUCGGGGUUGCGGACAGUGUCUGGUGGGUAGUUUGACUGGGGCGGUCUCCUCCUAAAGAGUAACGGAGGAGCACGAAGGUUGGCUAAUCCUGGUCGGACAUCAGGAGGUUAGUGCAAUGGCAUAAGCCAGCUUGACUGCGAGCGUGACGGCGCGAGCAGGUGCGAAAGCAGGUCAUAGUGAUCCGGUGGUUCUGAAUGGAAGGGCCAUCGCUCAACGGAUAAAAGGUACUCCGGGGAUAACAGGCUGAUACCGCCCAAGAGUUCAUAUCGACGGCGGUGUUUGGCACCUCGAUGUCGGCUCAUCACAUCCUGGGGCUGAAGUAGGUCCCAAGGGUAUGGCUGUUCGCCAUUUAAAGUGGUACGCGAGCUGGGUUUAGAACGUCGUGAGACAGUUCGGUCCCUAUCUGCCGUGGGCGCUGGAGAACUGAGGGGGGCUGCUCCUAGUACGAGAGGACCGGAGUGGACGCAUCACUGGUGUUCGGGUUGUCAUGCCAAUGGCACUGCCCGGUAGCUAAAUGCGGAAGAGAUAAGUGCUGAAAGCAUCUAAGCACGAAACUUGCCCCGAGAUGAGUUCUCCCUGACUCCCUGAGAGUCCUGAAGGAACGUUGAAGACGACGACGUUGAUAGGCCGGGUGUGUAAGCGCAGCGAUGCGUUGAGCUAACCGGUACUAAUGAACCGUGAGGCUUAACCUUACAACGCCGAAG